AUGAGCACGGCCCUGUCUACUUGGAAAAGCAAUGUGAAGAGAAUGAUCCAGAAAGGUGAGAGUUAUGAGAAGAUCAAGGAGAAAAAUCCUUCGAUCACCGAAGAUGACUACAACGACUUCAAGAUCAAUUGGUCGAGCACCGCAAGCUCCGAAUCAAGUAAGUGGGGGAAAGAAAUGCGGGAGCUGAACUUAGGGGAACACACACUCGGUCCCGGCGGUUACAGAGUGGCGGAGCCUAUAUGGGACAAGGAGGAGGCGGACCGUGCCGAGCAAGGCCUACCGCCCCUCUUCGAUAAAUACGGUGACAAGCAGACCAGGAACUUUGUCAGGGCUCGGUAG
rnacentral:rRNA from 1 species